rnacentral:rRNA from 1 species
UACGGAAGGCAGCAGUGGGGAAUAUUGCACAAUGGGCGAAAGCCUGAUGCAGCUAUGCCGCGUGUAUGAAGAAGGCCUUAGGGUUGUAAAGUACUUUCAUCGGGGAGGAAAAAACAAAACUAAUAAUUUUAUUUCUUGACGUUACCCGAAAAAGAAGCACCGGCUAACUCCGUGCCAGCAGCCGCGGUAAUACGGAGGGUGCUAGCGUUAAUCAGAAUUACUGGGCGUAAAGAGCACGUAGGUGGUUUUUUUAAGUCAGAUGUGAAAUCCCUGGGCUUAACCUGGAACUGCAUUUUGAAACUGAAAUACUAGAGUAUCGUAGAGGGAGGUAGAAUUCUAGGUGUAGCGGUUGAAAUGCGUAGAUAUCUGGAGGAAUACCUGUGGCGAAAGCGGCCUCCUAAACGAAUACUGACACUGAGGUGCGAAAGCGUGGGGAGCAAACAGGGAUUAGAUACCCGU